ACAGGUGUUCUCUCUUUCAGUGUUGUGACGCGUACCAAGUGAGGAAUUGCAUAUUAGAAUGCAUUUGUAUUUAUAAAUAUUGAGUAAAAUCUCAACUUUUUGAUUAGUUUUAUACAAGUGUGUUAUAAUAUAAACUUAGUUGCAAAGUUAAUAAGAAACAAAAUUCCAAGAUGUCUCCGGAAGAAUAUACAGUGGAGGAGCAAGAGGCAAUUCAAGAAUUGAAACGUAGACUGGAUGGUGAAAUGGAUCAAGAAAUGUUUGCCGACGAUAACAUGUUUAUACGGUUCUUGAGAGCUCGAAACUUCAACAUGAGUGCUGCUGAAACAAUGCUACGCAAUGU